rnacentral:lncRNA from 13 species
UCAUCACAAGCUGUAUUCACGUUUCAUUUGCAGAACGCUACGGACGCAGGCCGGAAUGAAGGUGUCAACGCGGCUCGUUUAACAGAACACGGAGGACGCGAUGCAGAUUGAAGUGGGAGCGAGUGGCGUCGCAGCUUUUUCAAUAGAAUGUGGCGGAUCGACCAGAUUGGCUCCGGAACAAGUGGCAUCCACGACGCGAACGCGAAACAGAUCGGCUCCAAAAUGAUGGCGUCACGACCCAUUUAACUGAAUACGGUGCACGCUUACAAUAUGUGGAAUGGAAUGGGUCUGAAAUGAGCGGCAAAUAAUUUCCUAGAUUAACAUCUGAGAGGAGGAGAAGGCCUGGGAGAGGC